rnacentral:rRNA from 1 species
UACGGGGGGGGCAAGCGUUGUUCGGAAUUACUGGGCGUAAAGGGCUCGUAGGCGGCCAACUAAGUCCGACGUGAAAUCCCUCGGCUCAACCGAGGAACUGCAUCCGAUACUGGCGGGCUUGAAUCCGGGAGAGGGAUGUGGAAUUCCAGGUGUAGCGGUGAAAUGCGUAGAUAUCUGGAGGAACACCGGUGGCGAAGGCGGCAUCCUGGACCGGUAUUGACGCUGAGGCGCGAAAGCUAGGGGAGCAAACGGG